GAUUCCUAUUUUAUGCACAAUUAGCUAUCAUGUUAUUCAAAUUUAAAGCUAAGAGUCAACAUAAACGUUCUCGAUUAUAUCAAUCAUCUUCAGCAGUAUCACCACCAUUGUAAUCUGAAGAGUCAUCGCUGUUGCCAUUGCUGAAUGUCAUUAUCAACUCUAAGAUUUCCCUACUUACAGUAGGAGGUUCUCUUCCACGUUCGGGGCUCGAAUUCUGUCUUCGCAGUGAAAACAGUUGCAUCAUCAGUUCCUCCGGUAACGCUAAGCGGUGCAUCCAUCCUCUAGGCUUUGGUUUCUGUUCAAUUUUCUCAGGGAGAGUAGCCCUUUCAAGGGCCUUUGGAGUCCAUAUCUUGACGUCACUUUCAAUUCCACUACUAGCAAGCAUGGUCAUAUGAGGAUGGGGCUCGAUGCAGUUCACGACAUCCUCGUCAGCUUCCAUGACUCGGAUUAGCUCUCCACCCUUUUUCCUCCAUAUAAAUAUUCUGC
rnacentral:misc_RNA from 1 species